GCAGAAAUAGCUUAAUGGUAGAGCAUAGCCUCACCAAGUCUGAGGUUGAGGGUUCAAGUCCCCUCCUUCUGCU